CAGGCUAUCAAAGAACUGUAGGCAUAGCAGAUUCUAAUUAUAAUUGGUUUUACGGUCCAGAAAGCCAGUUAAUUUUUUUGGAUAAGUUCAUUUUACGGAAUGGAGCUGGAAAUUGGUUAGCUCAGCAAAUUAGAAAGCAUCGACCUAAGGAUGGACCAAUGGUUCCUUCCACUGCUCAGCGGUGGAGUACUCUUCAUACUGAAUACAUCUGGUAUGAUCCAACGCUCCCCCCACAGCCUCCUGUUGAUUUUGGCACUGCAAAAAUGCACACAUUUCCUAACUGGGGUGUUGUGACUUAUGGGGGUGGCUUACCAAACACACAGACCAAUACCUUUGUGUCUUUUAAAUCUGGGAAACUGGGAGGACGAGCUGUAUAUGACAUAGUUCACUUUCAGCCAUAUUCCUGGAUUGAUGGAUGGAAAAGCUUUAACCCAGGACAUGAACAUCCAGAUCAAAAUUCAUUUACUUUUGCCCCUAAUGGACAAGUAUUUGUUUCUGAGGCUCUUUAUGGACCAAAGUUGAGCCACCUUAACAAUGUAUUGGUGUUCGCCCCAUCACCAUCAAGCCAAUGUAAUCAGCCCUGGGAAGGUCAACUGGGAGAAUGUGCACAAUGGCUCAAGUGGACUGGUGAAGAGGUUGGUGAUGCAGCUGGGGA
rnacentral:lncRNA from 1 species